CACUCUGUAAAGGAGACAGUUCANNUAUCGAGNACNCCCCGAUAANCCUCACCACCUCUUGUUAAUACAGCCUAUAUACCANCGUCCUCAGCUUACCCCCCAAAGGGAAAAUAGUAAGCAAAAUCAUUUUAAAUAAAAAAGUCAGGUCAAGGUGUAGCAAAUGGGGUGGAAAGAAAUGGGCUACAUUUUCUAUUACAGAAUAUACAGAAUGUUUUAUGAAAUAUGACAUGAAGGAGGAUUUAGAAGUAAAAGGAAAAAAGAGUGUUCUUUUUAAAUCGGCAAUAGAACGCGCACACACCGCCCGUCACCCUCCUUACACACCAAAAAAUUAAAUAAGUAUUAAUACAACAAGAGGAGAUAAGUCGUAACAUGGUAAGCCUACCGGAAGGUGGGCUUGGAUAUCAGAAUAUAGNUUAAUUAAAGCAUUAA
rnacentral:misc_RNA from 1 species